rnacentral:rRNA from 1 species
CCUACGGGAGACAGCAGUGAGGAAUAUUGGUCAAUGGGCGAGAGCCUGAACCAGCCAAGUCGCGUGAAGGAUGAAGGCCCUAUGGUUUGUAAACUUCUUUUAUAUGGGAAUAAAGUGAGGAACGUGUUCCUUUUUGUAUGUACCUUAUGAAUAAGCAUCGGCUAACUCCGUGCCAGCAGCCGCGGUAAUACGGAGGAUGCGAGCGUUAUCCGGAUUUAUUGGGUUUAAAGGGUGCGUAGGUGGUUUAUUAAGUCAGCUGUGAAAGUUUGUGGCUCAACCAUAAAAUUGCCGUUGAAACUGGUAGACUUGAGUAUAUUUGAGGUAGGCGGAAUGCGUGGUGUAGCGGUGAAAUGCUUAGAUAUUAGGAAGAACUCCGAUGGCGAAGGCAGUCUGCUGGACAGCAACUGACGCUGAGGCGCGAAAGCGUGGGUAGCAAACAGGAUUAGAUACCCUAGUAGUC